AUGGAGGGAGUAGAGGGGAUGAUGAGGGGGCUGAAACUCUCAGAUGAGGAGAAGAAGGGGAUCAAGAUCCGGAGUAUGGUGAAGGAGAAGGGUAAAAGUGCUGGAGCGCAGGCGGUGGGCAAACUCUUCUCCGAGAAGCUGGCACACCCAGAUGUGAUCUCCUUGUCUCUUGGCAAAGUUUGGUGCUCGAUCAAAGGGAUAGACUGUAAGGAGGUAGGGGAGAAUCGAUUUGUGUUCACGUUCUUGCAAGAAUCGGGAAGGAGGAGGGCUGUGGAGGAUGGGCCAUGGAUGUUUGAUAACGAUCUGUUGGUGGUAGAGGAGUUUGACCCAUAUAAGAGACUGGAGGAGUAUGAAUUCAACAACACGCCAAUUUGGGUGCGAGUCUACAACCUUCCCUUGGGUAUGAUGAACGCAGAAUCAGCAGAGGAUAUUGGCAACAUUAUCGGCCAGUUCAUAGAAGCAGACGCAGGUGCUGAUGGGAGUGCAAUAGGGAAGUUCAUUAGGGUCAAAGUAAGAAUGAGGAUAGACAAGCCUAUCAUGAGGGGGUUUACCCUUGAGGAGGAUGAUGAGCAGAAGAAACAGAAGGAGAGGAGGAUGAGAGAUGAUGAAGAUGAGAGUGGGUGGUGGAGGUUCGAGUAUGAAUUUCUUCCAGACUUUUGUUAUACAUGUGGUCGGCUCAGGCAUAGCAAAAAGGACUGUGAGAUCAAACUACAGAAAGGGGAGACACCGCAGUAUGGGAGAUGGCUGAAGGCAGACAUGGGGCAUAGGAGGGGGUGA
rnacentral:rRNA from 1 species